AAGUCGUAACAAGGUAACCGUAGGUGAACCUGCGGUUGGAUCAUUAAUAAAAUCCAAUUUGCGCUUUCCAGCGCAUCCAACACUAUGUGAACUGUAAUUGUCUUUGGCGGGUUGCGUUGCUUGACGCGUCUAGGGAUAUCAUCCCAAAACCCAAGCCGCCUACUGUUUGCUCAGUAGCCAGCCCGCUUGUCAAUCCUCCACGAUCAUGUGGUAGGCUUUGGCGAAAACGUACAAACAUUAUGUUUCAAUAUACUUAUUAGCCUUAUUACCUUUGUUAAGAAAUUAGCAAAACACUUAAUAAAAAACAACUUUUGACAACGGAUCUCUUGGCUCUU
rnacentral:misc_RNA from 1 species